UACGGAGGAUCCAAGCGUUAUCCGGAUUUAUUGGGUUUAAAGGGUGCGUAGGCGGAUUGAUAAGUUAGAGGUGAAAUGUCCGAGCUCAACUCGGGAACUGCCUCUAAUACUGUUGAUCUAGAGAGUAGAUGCGGUAGGCGGAAUGUAUGGUGCAGCGGUGAAAUGCUUAGAGAUCAUACAGAACACCGAUUGCGAAGGCAGCUUACCAAUCUAUAUCUGACGUUGAGGCACGAAAGCGUGGGGAGCAAACAGG
rnacentral:rRNA from 1 species